CAGGACGAACGCUGGCGGCGUGCCUAACACAUGCAAGUCGAGCGAAGUGCUUAUGAUGAAAUCUUCGGAUAGAUUCAUAAACCACUUAGCGGCGGACGGGUGAGUAACGCGUGAGGAACCUGCCUUGUACAAGGGGAUAGCCUCGGGAAACCGGGAUUAAUACCCUAUGUUACUUAAAAUUCACAUGAAUAUUAAGUUAAAGCGAUUUAGCGGUGCAAGAUGGUCUCGCGUCCCAUUAGUUAGUUGGUGAGGUAACGGCUCACCAAGGCCACGAUGGGUAGCCGGCCUGAGAGGGUGAUCGGCCACACUGGAACUGAGACACGGUCCAGACUCCUACGGGAGGCAGCAGUGGGGAAUAUUGCACAAUGGAGGAAACUCUGAAUGCAGCGACGUCGCGUGAGUGAUGAAGGUCUUCGGAUCGUAAAACUCUGUCCUAAGGGACGAUAAUGACGGUACCUUAGGAGGAAGCCCCGGCUAACUACGUGCCAGCAGCUGC
rnacentral:rRNA from 1 species